rnacentral:rRNA from 1 species
UUUUUAGAGAGUUUGAUCCUGGCUCAGGACGAACGCUGGCGGCGUGCCUAACACAUGCAAGUCGAACGAAGCAUUUGGAGCAGAUCCCUUCGGGGUGACGCACCUUAUGACUUAGUGGCGGACGGGUGAGUAACACGUGAGCAACCUGCCCUUCAGAGUGGAAUAACAGUUGGAAACGACUGCUAAUACCGCAUAACGUCGAGGUGCCGCAUGACACCAUGACCAAAGAUUUAUCGCUGAGGGAUGGGCUCGCGUCCGAUUAGCUAGAUGGCGGGGUAACG